GAUGAACGCUGGCGGCGUGCCUAAUACAUGCAAGUCGAGCGAAUGGAUUAAGAGCUUGCUCUUAUGAAGUUAGCGGCGGACGGGUGAGUAACACGUGGGUAACCUGCCAUAAGACUGGGAUAACUCCGGGAAACCGGGGCUAAUACCGGAUAACAUUUUGAACCGCAUGGUUCGAAAUUGAAAGGCGGCUUCGGCUGUCACUUAUGGAUGGACCCGCGUCGCAUUAGCUAGUUGGUGGGGUAACGGCUCACCAAGGCAACGAUGCGUAGCCGACCUGGGAAGGUGAUCGGCCGCACGGUGACUUGGACACGGCCCGAACUCAUACGGGAGGCAGCAGUAGGGAAUCAUCCGCAAUGGACGAAAGUCUGACGGAGCAACGCCGCGUGAGGUAUGAAGGCUUUCGGGGCGUAAAACGCUGUUGUUAGGGAAGAACAAGUGCUAGUUGAAUAAGCUGGCACCUUGACGGUACCUAACCAGAAAGCCACGGCUAACUACGUGCCAGCCGCCGCCGUAA
rnacentral:rRNA from 1 species